rnacentral:rRNA from 1 species
GACGAACGCUGGCGGCGUGCUUAACACAUGCAAGUCGAACGGAAAGGCCCUGCUUUUGUGGGGUGCUCGAGUGGCGAACGGGUGAGUAACACGUGAGUAACCUGCCCUUGACUUUGGGAUAACUUCAGGAAACUGGGGCUAAUACCGGAUAGGAGCUCCUGCUGCAUGGUGGGGGUUGGAAAGUUUCGGCGGUUGGGGAUGGACUCGCGGCUUAUCAGCUUGUUGGUGGGGUAGUGGCUUACCAAGGCUUUGACGGGUAGCCGGCCUGAGAGGGUGACCGGCCACAUUGGGACUGAGAUACGGCCCAGACUCCUACGGGUGGCAGCAGUGGGGAAUAUUGCACAAUGGGCGGAAGCCUGAUGCAGCAACGCCGCGUGCGGGAUGACGGCCUUCGGGUUGUAAACCGCUUUCGCCUGUGACGAAGCGUGAGUGACGGUAAUGGGUAAAGAAGCACCGGCUAACUACGUGCCAGCAGCCGCGGUGAUACGUAGGGUGCGAGCGUUGUCCGGAUUUAUUGGGCGUAAAGGGCUCGUAGGUGGUUGAUCGCGUCGGAAGUGUAAUCUUGGGGCUUAACCCUGAGCGUGCUUUCGAUACGGGUUGACUUGAGGAAGGUAGGGGAGAAUGGAAUUCCUGGUGGAGCGGUGGAAUGCGCAGAUAUCAGGAGGAACACCAGUGGCGAAGGCGGUUCUCUGGGCCUUUCCUGACGCUGAGGAGCGAAAGCGUGGGGAGCGAACAGGCUUAGAUACCCUGGUAGUCCACGCUGUAAACGGUGGGUACUAGGUGUGGGGUCCAUUCCACGGGUUCCGUGCCGUAGCUAACGCUUUAAGUACCCCGCCUGGGGAGUACGGCCGCAAGGCUAAAACUCAAAGGAAUUGACGGGGCCCCGCACAAGCGGCGGAGCAUGCGGAUUAAUUCGAUGCAACGCGUAGAACCUUACCUGGGUUUGACAUGGAUCGGGAGUGCUCAGAGAUGGGUGUGCCUCUUUUGGGGUCGGUUCACAGGUGGUGCAUGGCUGUCGUCAGCUCGUGUCGUGAGAUGUUGGGUUAGGUCCCGCAACGAGCGCAACCCUUGUUCACUGUUGCCAGCAUGUUAUGGUGGGGACUCAGUGGAGACCGCCGGGGUCAACUCGGAGGAAGGUGGGGAUGACGUCAAGUCAUCAUGCCCCUUAUGUCCAGGGCUUCACGCAUGCUACAAUGGCUGGUACAGAGAGUGGCGAGCCUGUGAGGGUGAGCGAAUCUCGGGAAGCCGGUCUCAGUUCGGAUUGGGGUCUGCAACUCGACCUCAUGAAGUCGGAGUCGCUAGUAAUCGCAGAUCAGCAACGCUGCGGUGAAUACGUUCCCGGGUCU